rnacentral:tRNA from 1 species
GACGCGGAUGGCUCGGGGAGGGCGUCGGCGUCCGCGUCCGGCCAGUGCACCGGUGCGGGCGAGGCUUCGGCGGCCUCCCCGUCUCGC